rnacentral:lncRNA from 1 species
UGAUUUUCACUCAUUUCUCUUACUUUAUAGUACAUCUUGGCCGCAUUUACGCUGGAGCCUAGAACUAACCCGCACUCUCGAUUCCCCGAUGUCAGUACGUACGUUCAUUUAGAGGAUGUUGUCUUGUUAAUCAUUUCAUUACACCUUGAGGAAAAAAGUUGCAAAAAAAUAAAAAAAGAAGUGGUGCAACAAGAGGAUAGAUCAAGAUGGCACCCAUCAUAGUACUAUUCUC